GCAGGGGGGAAAGGGAGGGGGAGGAGGAAUAGCUUCUCGAAGUCUUCUUCCAGCUUUCGAUUUCAGUCCUCAUCCUCUCACUCACCAUCCUUCGAGCAAUUGCUGCUAGUAACUGCGGUUUAUCCCCAACCCACACGAGCCCUUAUUUCCUCUUCCUUUCUCUUAAGUCACCAUUAGAGGUUGCUAAGUUCUGGAUCCCUCUCGUUGUUUUGUCUGCCUCAACACUGCGUGUGCUAUCUGUAUCAUUUAUCAUCUUUUGGUUAUAAAUCUAUUUUGUCAGGCUAGAGAAUAUGUGUAUCUAACUUUUGUAUAUUAGAUUCAGCUAUAUUGUAAAUUAUCUAAAAACCAGAAUUAGACUUAA